GCAAACACCACCAAUUCAUUGCUCUUUUUCUGCAUGUCGACAUGUAUGGACGGACGCCGUUUUCUGUUGUAUAUCUACAAAAGAAAAAGUGCAUUUAAAAUGAAGCAAUGGAUAUACUUUCUUAUCAUGAAUGAGAGUACCAAUGCACCGGAUGUUGACAUCAGAGGAGUGUUGAUACAAGAUUGGGCCGAGCAGAAAAGAGAAGCCAAUCAAGUUGCUGUGUCUCGCUAGUCCAAAGGACAAGCCCAGAUGACACCUACACAAACAAAUUAUUCGACAGAAAACUAUGGUGAAAAAGAAAACAGUACAAAGAGUCCACGUUUGUCCUCAAUAUAUGGUGAUUUGCAGACAUGGGCCAUUCUUGCAGGGGUAGCCAUUUUGUUUCUUCUGUUGGUUGUCAACACGGUUUCAGUUAUAAAGAGAAGGAAUGAUCACCGCAUUGUUGAGCGAUACCUAAUGUCACUACAUGCGCUUUUUCCAUCUGGGCGGAACUAUAAUGAAGUUGUGAACGAGGAACAAGAUCCUGAAAUUAGAGUAAUAUCCAAGCGGGUACGGGGCUGUGGAACCGCCACAGAUUAUGAUGAGAUUGAAAUGAUAGGGAAUCAUAGAUAUGAGUCAAAUGAUGCAGAAGAAUGCAAGCCUGUAAAAAAGACAGAAACAGAACAUGAAUCAGAAACAGAACUUGAUAAAGAGAUAGAACCAGUCUGCAAUACGGAAGAAAGGGAAAGGCAUAGUACGGAACACGCCCAAAGCAGGGAUUCAAUGUACUCCCUGCAGCGAGAGGUGCUGAGUAGUAACCUAUAGUCAAUGGACGUACAACGAGUUAUAGAGUCCACUGUUGAAUUUAUGUUAUACGGAUCAUAGUUUCUGCUCUGUCAUUGGACGAUUUGUGGUGGUAUAUAAGACAUACUACAAGACUUUACGUCGAAUCCUCCUGUGAUCACUAAACGCUCAGAAGUUUUUUUUAAAUACUAGUUAAUGUGCCGUUGACAUUCAUCCUAAAGAAAUUUAUACGUUACACAUUGCAGUGUUUGCACAAUACAUUGGUUUCCUUGGUUGCAUUUGUUCGUUAUAAGAACUAUCGGAAUCACAACGAUAAAGUCAUUUUAUGUCUACUUGCAAACACAUCGUUAGAUAAUGUAUCAAAUUUAGCAAGGAAACGUGUUUGCAACGCUUUAAACCAAACAUAUAUCUAGUUCUGAUAGGACAGACAUUCAGUCACCUAGAGAAGGAAAUGUUUGUUGACUCCAUUACUUUGUUCAAUCCGAAUGUGAAAUAGUCAAAUGUGAACAGGAACUUUCGCAAAAAUAACGAUAAGUAAACAAAGGUGAAAAAUAAAAGGGUACAGAAAAACAGAAGACAAUGAAGUUACCGUUUCCAUUAUAUUUAUAUGUAAAUAAAGUUGGGAAAUGGAACAUCUAGUAAAACAAAAGCAAUAUCAUUUAUUGAACAGUGACGAUACUAGGGGUUUUGAAGGACGGUGGAGUCAUGUUGUUUAUCGACACUGUAUAUAUAAUAUAUUCUUUACACAUAUUUUAACAUCUAUAAGAUGAGUUUUUCUAUUUUAAAAAAACUGUAUGUCUCAUUUGCUUACAAUGAUUUUUCAGAAAUUUAUAUUAUUAUUAAAAGUAUUACAUCAAUUUUAAGUUUAUAAAAGAUUUAUUUAAUCAAAUCAUUUAUGCCAUUGUCAUUUGUCAUUUGAUAAAAUCACAUGAUCAAAAACCUUUUAAAAGUAUGAAGAUUUAAGUUACACUUAAAGAUUUGAUUGUUUAAUUGUGCGUGCGUUAACAUGUAUAAAAACACAUGUUAUCUGUCAAUCUGCUUGAUACUUGAAAUGUUUUCUCGAUUCAGCUUUCAUCAUCUUGUAUAGAUGGGUGAUCUUUGUCACUUAUAAGAAGGAAAUGAGUAUCAACCUGCCUCAUUUUAGACUGCAAUUACAUAUGCACUUUUAAUAAACGUAUUUCCUUCCUCCUCAAUAAGAACGGAAUGUCAACUUUUGACUUCAAAUUGAGCCUAAAUUCUUUUUUUGAUGAGGAAGCUGUAAUGUUAACCCUGCUAACUUAAAUAUGACAUAAAAAUGCAAAAUAAAAUGUUAUAUGAAUAGUAAAACAGACAUACAAAACAUAAAGGUACAAAAAAAGAUCGUUCAACAUUAAAUCAUCAUAACAAAUUGACGGGUUAGCCGGUUGCACUCCUUGGUUUUGUGUUUUAUGUACUUUUAUCUGUUUUAUCUACUUUAAACUGCAUGUGGAAUUUAAAGUACCAUAAAAUGCGCCACAAUACAAUAUGUAUACGCUAAGUUUUAAUGAAGAGAUCGGCUUUUUGCCUUGUUUUAGUCAAUUUCAUAUCUUCCUUUAAUAAUUUCCUUACGUACACUCUGCGGGAUUUUUUUUAAAUAGCGUCCUAUGGUCGGAAGAAAUGUUGCGUAAUAAUAUCUUUCUUACAAAUUUAACCUAAAAGCUAGGAGAUUGUAAUCAAUAUAAAGGAAGAUACUAAAGCGAGGAAAUACUUUUUGGAGGCUUGGUUUACAUUCAACUCAAUAUACACACUUUGCUGCAGCUAGAUUUGUCGUUCAUGGCCAAAAGCCUGAAUUGGAAUUGUAUCUAUACUUCCCCAGUAUAAAAACAUGAAAUCACAUGAUCAAAAACCUAAUAAAAGUAUGGUGCUUGAUUUUCCUCCUUCGGACUAGUACACGAGCUUAUAGUUCCUGGUCACAGUUCUCGUUGUGGCACUGAGAAAGUAACAAUACAUGUACCAGCACUCAUGAAAAUGUCAGUUUACACCUACUGUGUUUCGUCGAAAGCUCGUGACAUUGUGCUUUUCUUAGAGCUGACGUUUCUUGGUUUUCAGAAGGUAACUUGCAAUGAUUGUGACGCCAUCUAAUGGAACAGUUAAUGACAAAACACCAGGUAACAUGUCAUCGUACCAGAACAUCUCUACAGAGUCCACCACAGAUAAUAAUUCUUCUACGUCUACCGCCUCCCAGACUACGUCUACAGAAGAACCCCCUGAAGAUAUUAUUGACAUAAUACAGCCCUACGUCAUCGUAGGCGGGGUCGCCGUUCUACUUCUGCUCCUGAUCGUCAAUUUCGUAUCUGUUGUACAGAGAAG